CGGGGCUUAAAGUCUUGUAAUUGGAAUGAUGGGAAUUUAAACCUCUUCCAGAGUAUCAAUUGGAGGGCAAGUCUGGUGCCAGCAGCCGCGGUAAUUCCAGCUCCAAUAGCGUAUAUUAAAAUUGUUGCAGUUAAAAAGCUCGUAGUUGAAUUUCUGCUGCAUUGCUUGUGUCCCUCUCGGGUCUGUGCAUGUGGCUUUUUUCGGACGGAGUUUCUUUGUCUGAAUGUUUACUUUGAGAAAAUUAGAGUGCUCAAAGCAGGCUUUCGCCUUGAAUAGUUUAGCAUGGAAUAAUAAAGUAGGACUUUGGUUCUAUUUUGUUGGUUUUAGGUACCAAAGUAAUGGUUAAUAGGAACAGUUGGGGGCAUUCGUAUUUAACUGUCAGAGGUGAAAUUCUUAGAUUUGUUAAAGACGAACUACUGCGAAAGCAUUUGCCAAGGAUGUUUUCAUUAAUCAAGAAC
rnacentral:rRNA from 1 species